ensembl:lncRNA
GGGAGGUGCCGCCGCUCGUCCCGGCGCGGGCAGCGGAGCGGCGAGGGGCGGUGAGUGCGAGGGGCGGGCGGGCGCUCACGGCAGCCGGGGUGCGGCGUCCUCCCGCGCCGGGACAGCGUCUGCCCUCCCUGGGCUCGCCCUGCGCGAAGGGGGCGCGGAGCCGCCGCGGGGAUGGGGCGGGGAGCUGCUUGCGGAUGGUUGCGGAGCCGGGCUCUCACCUGCGCCCUCCGCUCGCCCUCUCCCCGCCGCUCGGCUCGGUCACAGCGGGACCUUCGCCGCGCUGCCCCUGCCCCGGCUGCGAGCGCCCGGGAAUUGCCGCCUUCUGGCAGCGGUGCGGCUGUUCCCGACGGGGAGUUGAGAAGGACGGCUGGGAAAACUGUGUGCUCGGGGUUCUUAUUUGUUCAAAGAAUAAAGGGUUGAAAAUGCACUUUCAAAACCACUUGGUGCACUUUGAGAUGUCAGGAAACCGAAGAGUUUUAAUUAGAGGAACAUCCAUCCUUGCUUGCAAAUUAACCAGUUGCUUCUGAAUUCAUUACAUGGAUGUUUCCCAUCCUUGUGAUAUUGAUUUACAUGCUCUGGAAUCAUGAUGGUUGUGAUGUCCCUGGCUGGCAGUGGAGAAUUAAUGUUUGGUGUGGCAGAAAGUCCUUGGCAAUGGAGGAGCAUAUGAAGCAUAAAGUCGGAACUUCAGCAGCUGAAUCAACACAAAAUCCCUUACAAAGACAGCACUGUGAAAAUCUCCCUGUAAUAGAUCUCCUUGAAAAUUUUAAAUGUUCGGUGGAAAGAAGAUAUUUUGUCCUGACCAAAGAUAAUAACAAUUUUCAUCUUGCAUACAUGGAAAAGAGAUUGGAAGAUGUUUUUUCCUUCUUUCUGUCAAACAUUCAAGAUGUGUGGUUCUUCCCUGUGUCAAAACUAUGUGUGCACUUAGAAAACUUAGGAGAUGAAGUCAGAAGCCUGAACUUUUAACAGAAGCAGGGAACCUUUAUUGUACUUCACCAGUCCCUUCAGAUAUGAAAAUUAAGUAUUGGGAGUUUAGAGAAAGUCCUGUGAAUGGCCUACCUGCAAAUCAAGAAUAUUUUUUCUCAGAUAUCACUGCAAUCAAAUAACUCAAUAUAGUUAAGUUUCAUAUGAAAAAAAAAAAAAAAAAUCUUGAUUUGAUGCCUUAAGUUUUAGCUUUCAUAUUUUUCAUACUCUGUGCUGCCUAGGUGUGUAGUUUUGAACUUCAUAUUAAGCGUUACUGAGCUCCCUUCACAGGGUAGGUAGACAAAACAAUUCCUUUUCCAGCUCGAUACCAAGGACAAUCAUUACAAGUUUCAGGCCCAAAACCAUAAACAACGGUGGACUGAGGAGAGGAAACAAGAAGGCUGGGACUUCAUAAUCUGAAGCUGUAAUUGGACAAUUAGCCCAAAUAUGCAGAUGGACCAAAACUUAUAAAAAUGUGAGACCUCAUGAGCAGUCGUCCAUUUUGUGACCAUUUUUUUGUUCAUCUUGGGUGUAGCCCUGGCCAGGCUCUUGUACUGCCCAAGGUGUGUCCUUUAAGGCCUUUCAAUAAAUACCUACUUUAUUCUUAACUCUGUCUAGCC